rnacentral:rRNA from 1 species
UACGAAGGGGGCUAGCGUUGCUCGGAAUCACUGGGCGUAAAGGGUGCGUAGGCGGGUAUUUAAGUCAGAGGUGAAAUCCUGGAGCUCAACUCCAGAACUGCCUUUGAUACUGAGUAUCUUGAGUACGGGAGAGGUGAGUGGAACUGCGAGUGUAGAGGUGAAAUUCGUAGAUAUUCGCAAGAACACCAGUGGCGAAGGCGGCUCACUGGCCCGUUACUGACGCUGAGGCACGAAAGCGUGGGGAGCAAACAGG